rnacentral:lncRNA from 1 species
AAUGUUAUGUGGGGGUUUGUAGGUAGAUCUAAAGAUCAUACAUCCCCCUUAAAUAAUGGAAAUAUCUAUGCUUUGAGUGGAAACUGAAACAUAUCCACCAUGUCUUUGAGAUGCUUUUUCAAGGCUGAAAUGAUUUUUCUCAGAUCUGCCAACAAUAGAUGUGCCAAAAACAUCAAUUUAGAUGGUUUAUAAUUUACAUAGGUGUGAAGUAAACAAAGAGGCAAUGUUUUUGCUAAAGGCUAAAAGACAAGAAAGCAAGAAAUGUGAAAGUACGAGGGUUAUCCAGAUAAAAGUGUUUGAAACCCCCCCCCCCUAAGAUUUCCGCCUGGCUUGCAUCCUGAACCAGGCUGGUUUCCCUUCCCUCAGCUGUCAAAUGGUGAGCUCAGCUUUCCGAUCGCUCUUCCUCGAUCGCUCUUUUGUUUUGCAGAUGCUUGCAAAGAAGGUGCUCUUUUAAGGUUUUUCAAGAAGCACACCUUUCCUGUCCCAAAAAACCUUCCUUGCAAGCAUCUGCAAAACAAAAGAGCGAUCGGAAAGCUGAGCUCACCAUUUGACAGCUGAGCGAAGGGAAACCAGCCUGGUUCAGGACGCAAGCUAGGUGGAAAUCUUGGGGUGGGGGGGGCUUUUCAAACACUUUUAUCACUAUGAUAGCUACCUAGAUUUCAGUGGGGACUAUGGUGAAAACUAGUAUUUGGGUCUGGCUUUCAACUGAAUAUGGUAAAUGUUUUCUCCUAUACUUUGUUUAUUUUUAAUUCCAAAACGUACUGAACUUUCUGGAUAGCCCUCGUAUAUGACGUCUACUGUAAGAAUUGCCCUAUGAAGGCUCAGGAAAUGCUUUGCAGUAGUGUUGAUACCUAUACCUGACACUUGCAUUUUGUCUAUUGAUGGAUUUGGGAGAUUUCUUAAAUUGUUACUUUAUGCUUUCAGAUUAACUUUUUGAAGACAGAAAUGGAGAGAAAAAGCAAAAUGAUCAGGGAUCUUCAAAAUGAGGGAGCUUGGAUUUGUGGAAUGGGGUUAAGGAAGCAGGCACCAACAUACUCUCAAAUAGAAGGGAAGAAGCCAUGCCCAGCAGCCACAUGGGCUGUUUCAGGCAAAACAAACAUUGUGUCUGCGCCUUUGCCAUUACCACCAUCUGGAGAAACCAAACAAGUUGAAGAAGCCAAAGGAAAACAGCUAAAACGGAUGCAUGCACAAGUUUAGAGAAUAUGUUUUUCAAAGUCGUACAUGAGCUUUGAUUGAGGACAAAACUAAUCAUGCUACAAUAUAAUAAACCUUAUUUUCUUUUUUAUGGCAAGAUUUUUGUGGACACUUAAGGGGGCAUGUAUGAAUUCUGUAUUCUCUUCAAAAUGAUAUUGUAGUUAUUUUACACUGCCUCACAGUACCAGACCCACCUGCACCAAACAGCUUGAAGCAAUUUAUCAUUGCAGAAGGAGCCACUUUCACUGGGUAAUAGACGGGAACAAGUUAAAAUGUGUGUGAAACAAGAUGCUAUGUGCUGUCAUUACCCAAAAAUUGUGUAAAAUACACAUAAGGGAAUUCAAAUGUAAACAGUGCAUGAUAAUAACUUUUGUUCAGUCCUUCGUAAAAACAUUGAUUCAAAUAAAAUGUGUCUAAUUUACAGAUCAAACUUUCAGAGUUUCCAUUAGGUGCUGGACCUAAAUCUCGCUUUAUGUAUAGAAUUCAGUUAACAUUCUAUUUCAGUUGCCAAGAUGUUUUAAAUGCAUAAUUUCACAAUAUUCUAUUACUAGUUAAUAGUAAAUUUACAUUAUUAAAUGCAUAAUGUUUUGAGUUUCAUAUAUUUACAGUUAGUUGCCAGUGAAAGUUUAUACUGGGGUUGUUGUAUGUAUUCCGGGCUGUAUGGCCAUGUUCUAGAAGUAUUCUCUCCUGACGUUUCGCCCACAUCUAUGGCAGGCAUCCUCAGAGGUUGCCUGCCAUAGAUGUGGGCGAAACAUCAGGAGAAAUACUUCUAGAACAUAGCCACACAGCCCGGAAUACAUACAACAACCCUGUGAUCCGGGCCAUGAAAGCCUUCGACAACACAAAGUUUAUAUUGUUUAAAACUUUUGAAAUUUGCUUCUAUGUUCAUUUUCUAGAUUCAGUAUGCUGCAUGGCAAACUAAUGGAUGUCUUUUUCCUUUCCUACCACUACAAAUUUUCAAACUAAAAUAGUCACUACUUUUUACAUUUGUCUUCUUUUCUGAAAUAUAUUUUUCCAUUCUGUAAAAAACAGAACCAGGUUAUCCAACUUAGGGCUGGAAUCCUGUUGGUGAACUACACUAGUGUUUGCACUUUUUUCAAGGUGACAAGGGAAGCCAGACAAAAUCUACAAGCUCCAGGUAGCCUAGGUCUCCAGUUCCUUAUUUCAUUCAUUGCCAUGGCACAGUCAACCUUUCCCCUUUCUACUUUCUACCAUGGUGUAGUUUCAGUGGUAGCAGCAAAAAGGGCAGAACAGCAGGGGAGAUAAAUGGUGAAAAAAAAAUUAAAGCAUGCAUUCAGAGUUAUGUUAGCCUCUGUCCACACAACAUAUUUUCCUCCUUUCAUUCCCCAUAAUAAGAUCAUCCUUUCUACCAAAGAAAUUUGAAUUUUCCAGACUUUCCAUACUUCAGACAGCCAGAGUGGAUUGGAAUAGGGUCCAUGAUGGAAGGACUUCCACCAACUGUCAGAUCGCUGCAUAUUGGGUGUAAUUGGUUACUUAGAUCAAAAUACAUAUAUUUGAAUUCACGAAAGCUUUCUAAAUUCAAUCAGUUUGUGGUAUUACCUUGGAAUUUACUUUUCGUCUGAAAUCACUUGAAAAGAAAUAAUUGUGUUUGUCAUUGUCUUCAUGGCUCUUGGGUGAAGGACAGGAGGUGAGGUUGUGCUUUCUUCUUCUCUGUACUCAUAUGAUUUUGAUGUAACUUCCACUACUUCUAAGAAUCCAAUUGGAGUUAUAAAACCAAACAAAAAACAAGAACAUAUUUGAAAUAGAUUUGUAUUUUAUGAUGUUAUCUUCAUCUGUAUCUGAGGACUAUUUUUUCAAAAAAAAAACAACAAAAAAAACCGAGUUCUUAAGAUAUAGCUUUUUGUCUUUUGUCAAUGGUUGUUCAAUCAUUCCAUUCUAUUAGGCACUAUUUUUGUGAUUUCUUCUGUCUACACUGUGAUGCUUUCAGACGUUUGCUUAAAACAGGAUGUAAUUUGUGAUAUGUGUUUGUGACCUCAAAGACAAUUUUCUCUCAUUUUUUCUUUACCCCCCCCCCCGGGUCUUUGGGUUGUAAUAUUUAAAAUAAAAAAGGAGUAGAUGUGAAAGAAACAUAUUGCUCCAAUCUGCGUCAACAUUAAAGAGAGAUACACUUGAGGAUGGUAAUAGAAUGUUGCACUAGUGAUAGGAAUAGCCAGAAAAUAUUCCAGAAUGACAGGAUUACAGAAGUAUCAUAUUGACUGUUUUUUUAAAAAAAAGAAAAGAAAAGAAGAGUUACAGCAAUAAAAGCCAUAGCCUUUUAAAACAUUUACCACAUCUGAAGGAUUCUGUUAAAUCUUGAAAGCCAAAUUGAACCCCAGGCUUGGAGGAAAGGAGGAAGAGAAAGAGAAACUGUUAUUCACCCCAACUCUCUUUGUGCCUUUCUCUAAAUAGUUGAAGAUUUAUAAUAGACUUAUGUUUUCCAAUAUGAUAGUUUUGCUUUAAUUUUUAAUAUAGUAUGAAAAUUUGAUAGGUUGAUAGACUCUGAAUUGUUCUGAACUCAGGGCCAGUUCUACCUCUCGACAGAUUGAGGACAAAUAGGUUUGAACAUGGUAAGAGCAGGAAGCUAUUUCUUUGUUGUUAAUACGUUACUGCUAUAAGAACUUGAAAAAGUGUAUUGGGAUUUAGUCUGCAUUGGGUGCAGAAGAUCUGUUUGCUGGUCCCAGAUGGUGAGGCCAAUUAAAUUGGGGUCAGGGAACCCAUGUCUGAUGCAGAGAGAUGGAGGGGUAAGGACCAAGCCUAUUUAAGGGCUGCUCCAGCCCCUUGUCUUCCUCUUGGAUAUUUGUUGACUCACUCUCCUGUCCCCUUUCACAGUUUAAAUAUGCUGGUUGCUUCAGGGCCAGGUUUUUCCCAUUCCUUAAGAGUUUUUCACCUACCUUAGAUGCAAGACUUUACAAUUGGCUAAGGGUGGUGCCUUAAAUAUGACCCUAUUUACAGGGGGGGGGGGGGGUUGGAAGAGAAUUAAAUUUGGUGAACACCUUUGACACUGUUUUUAAUGUAGGAUGGGAACCCAGAUCUGCCCAUGGAUAUGAUGUGAUCACGGAGUAUUGACAGUUACUGUCCUUGCUUGGAGUUGUUCUCUGGGUUUUUGCCCCCUCCAGUCAUCAGUCAAUCAGCAAAUAGGAUUGUCUACAUGAGCAUUUUCUCCUUUAUAUGAAACCUAUCCAUGUUUCCUUGUAUUGAUGAUCUCAUUCAUAUAAUUUCAGAAACAUUUGUACUCAGCCCUGAUGGUUAGUUUGCCCCUAGGAAAAUCCACUUCCAGGAAAGGAUUUUUGAUCAGAGGAACAGAUGGGCCUGAAUUAUGCAUAACAAAUUUAGGGUGUUACCACCUAGAGGGCUCUGACUCUUAGCAUCUGGGGUUCUGUGAUAGAUGACGUGCUCAGAAUUGUAUGAGGGAAGAAUGAAGAAAUGUAAUUGUUUCACUCUGGAGGUCUCUCAUUCACAGAGUUGCCAUACAUCAAAGCUGACUUGACAGUGAAUAACAACAAGAAUUGUUUCACCUUAUUGUCAUCACCUAUCUGUCCUAAUGAGUGCUUAUACAUUUUUUUUCCUGUCUGGUAGUUUAAAUAUCCCCAUAUACAGUUGCAGCCACAUGUUUAUAUCUCCAGAAACAAAUAUUUGGUAGCCAUGUGAUGGUUUUAUUUCUUUAUUUUUUCUUUAAUCAAGAGUUAAGUGGGCAGAUGUUUAGGAUUGUAGCUAUCAUGGACUAACUUUUGGGCAUGCUGGAAAUGAAUUUGUGCCAUUUC